rnacentral:rRNA from 1 species
AUAGAGGCCUACCAUGGUGGUAACGGGUAACGGGGUGUUAGGGCACGACACCGGAGAGGGAGCCUGAGAAACGGCUACCACAUCCAAGGAUGGCAGCAGGCGCGCAAAUUACCCAAUCCCGACACGGGGAGGUAGUGACAAUAAAUAACAAUACGGGGUUCUUUAGGAUCUCGUAAUUGGAAUGAGUACAAUUUAAAUCUCUUAACGAGGAACAAUUGGAGGGCAAGUCUGGUGCCAGCAGCCGCGGUAAUUCCAGCUCCAAUAGCGUAUAUUAAAGUUGUUGCAGUUAAAAAGCUCGUAGUUGAAUUUCGGGGUUAGUAGGUUGGUCAUGCCUCUGGUAUGUACUGGUCUCACUGAUUCCUCCUUCCUUAUGAACCGUAAUGCCAUUAAUUUGGUGUUGCGGGGAAUUUGGACUGUUACUUUGAAAAAAUUAGAGUGUUUAAAGCAAGCUAACGCUUGAAUACAUUAGCAUGGAAUAAUGAAAUAGGACGUUCGAUCUUAUUUUGUUGGUUUCUAGGAUUGACGUAAUGAUUAAUAGGGAUAGUUGGGGGCAUUAGUAUUCAAUUGUCAGAGGUGAAAUUCUUGGAUUUAUUGAAGACUAACUACUGCGAAAGCAUUUGCCAAGGAUGUUUUCAUUAAUCAAGAACGAAAGUUAGGGGAUCGAAGACGAUCAGAUACCGUCGUAGUCUUAACCAUAAACUAUGCCGACUAGGGAUCGGAUGAUGU